rnacentral:rRNA from 1 species
UGGGGAAUAUUGCGCAAUGGGCGAAAGCCUGACGCAGCAAUGCCGCGUGUGUGAUGAAGGCCUUAGGGUUGUAAAGCACUUUCAGUAGGGAAGAUAAUGACGGUACCUACAGAAGAAGUCCCGGCUAACUCCGUGCCAGCAGCCGCGGUAAUACGGAGGGGCAAACGUUGUUCGGAUUUACUGGGCGUAAAGCGACCGCAGGCGGUUUGUUAAGCCAGAUGUGAAAUCCCGGAGCUCAACUCCGGAACUGCAUUUGGAACUGGCAAACUAGAGUCUUGGAGAGGAUAGUGGAAUUUCCAGUGUAGAGGUGAAAUUCGUAGAUAUUGGAAGGAACACCAGUGGCGAAGGCG